rnacentral:rRNA from 1 species
GAGAAGGGAAGUAACCCGCCGAAACGGUGAGCUAAUACCCUAUACGCUAUCUUUUUCGUAAAAGGAGUAGGAAAGCCGGGUCGAGGACCUGGUACUCAAGGAGGGGCUCAUGUCCUAUCAGCUUGUUGGUGGGGUAACGGCCUACCAAGGCUACGACGGGUAGCUGGUCUGAGAGGAUGAUCAGCCACACUGGCACUGAGAUACGGGCCAGACUCCUACGGGAGGCAGCAGUGAGGAAUAUUGCGCAAUGGGCGAAAGCCUGACGCAGCGACGCCGCGUGGGGGAUGAAGGUUUUCGGAUUGUAAACCCCUUUCAUGAGGAAAGAUAAAGUGGGUAACCACUUAGACGGUACCUCAAGAAGAAGCCACGGCUAACUUCGUG